rnacentral:lncRNA from 1 species
CCACGUUCUAUAACAAUUGAAUCGGACAAGAAAUUUUGUAUUCGCACGAAAACUCUAGUCGAACAAAAUUACACGUAAAACAGAAUGCUCUUUAGGGCCAGUCCACCAGGUUCUACAUGAGUUCCAAAGGCCUACUAACAAAUCAUCGAGGGACCUCAAGAAGAAGUUGAGAUCUGUGUCCCCAUGUCACAGAAAGAUGCAUAUGUAUAUAAAUUUGAAAAGGAAUAUUUUGCAUAUAGCUAUCUUUUUUUCCAGCAGCAAGAAGUUGGAAGAUAUCUUAGAUAUCAUGUUGCUUUGAAUACAAAGUUGGCAGCUGAAACCAAACAAUUCCGUAUUGUCAAAACCACAGUGAAGUACAAGAAACGAAGAAGAAAGGAAUAAUAGAGGCAUCAUAAGAGCCCAACAUGACAAUCAGAUCCCUAUCUAAGACAAUCAAAUUUAUCUAUCUGCAGAAAGAAGAUUCUCA